rnacentral:sRNA from 1 species
GGUCCUUGGAGAUUCAUCCAUUCCAGAGAGCCCAGGGAGGUCGGGCUUGGGUCAACAGGAGGGGAGAGCAGAGUCUGCUCAGGGAACCCCAGGAGUCACCAGUCCAAAGUCACCCAGGGAUGACUGUGUUUCUCACCUCUGGAGGACUCAGUGUUCAAGGUGCCAUCUUGGAAGCAGAGAGCAGCCCUCACUAGACUACAAACCUGCUGGCACUUUGAUCUUAGACUCCCCGCCCACCAGAACUCUCUCCACUCCCUUCCUAGACUUUCUUCAUAGAGCCAGAAGAGGGUACCGAAUUGGCCUGGACUGCUCAGCCUGUACGGUUCUGGGAGUUGGGUGGGGUGGAUGGAGUGAACUCAGCAGGCACCCUCAGCUCUGCUCUCCUGUGGUUGUGACUGGAUCUCCAGGAGGGACUUGGACUUUUCCAGGUGUUAGCACUGAAGAUGCUUUGGUGCUUCUCCACAGGGGAGAAAAUUCAAAAUAAAAACAAAACCAUAAACCAUACAAUACAACUUUUAUAUGGAUGCUAAAAAUAAAAUUUUUUUUCUUAAAGUU